AACGAACGCUGGCGGCGCGUCUUAAACAUGCAAGUCGAACGGCAGGAAGGGGCUUGCCCCUUCUGAGAGUGGCGGACUGGUGAGUAACACGUGGGUGACAUACCUUUUAGUUGGGGAUAGCUAUUAGAAAUAGUAGGUAAUACCGAAUGUGACCGUACCUGUUAGAGGGGUACGAGGAAAGGAGCUAAGGCUUCGCUAAAAGAAUGGCUCGCGGCCCAUUAUGCUCGUUGGUGAGGUAACGGCCCACCAAGGCGAUGAUGGGUAUCCGGCCUGAGAGGGUGAACGGACACAUUGGGACUGAGAUACGGCCCAGACUUCUACGGGAGGCAGCAGUUAAGAAUAUUCCGCAAUGGACGAAAGUCUGACGGAGCGACGCCGCGUGGAUGAAGAAUGCCGAAAGGUUGUAAAAUCCUUUUAAGCCUGAUGAAUAAGCACAAUAGGGAAUGAUUGUGCGGUGACCGUAGGGCUUGAAUAAGCACCGGCUAAUUACGUGCCAGCAGCCGCGGUAACACGUAAGGUGCGAGCGUUGUUCGGAAUUAUUGGGCGUAAAGGGCAUGUAGGCGGAUAGGCAAGCUUGGUGUGAAAUGUUACAGCUUAACUGUGAGACAGCAUUGAGAACUGCAGAUCUUGAAUUACUGAAGGGUAACCAGAAUUCCACGUGUAGGGGUGAAAUCUGUAGAUAUGUGGAAGAAUACCAAUGGCGAAGGCAGGUUACCGGCAGAUAAUUGACGCUGAGGUGCGAAAGUGCGGGGAGCGAACAGG
rnacentral:rRNA from 1 species